rnacentral:lncRNA from 1 species
GGAGGACGUCCUUGGAUCUGUUGGUGGUGGCCAAGAGGAGGAAGAUUGAGGAGUUUGUGAAUUUUAGAGUUUGCUUUUUUUUUAGUUUUCUUUGUAUUAUUAUUGUUUUUGUAAAAUUUUGAUUGUACUUUUGGGUGGCUCUAGUUCACCAAAACUUUGGUUUGUUAGUUUGUUUUGUUAAUUGCAUGAAUACUCUGUGAG